rnacentral:rRNA from 1 species
UGGCGGCCGCGGGAAUUCGAUUAGAGUUUGAUCAUGGCUCAGAUUGAACGCUGGCGGAAUGCUUUACACAUGCAAGUCGAACGGUAGAGGGGGCAACCCCUCGAGAGUGGCGAACGGGUGAGUAAUAUAUCGGAACGUGCCCAGUCGUGGGGGAUAACGUAGCGAAAGUUACGCUAAUACCGCAUACGAUCUACGGAUGAAAGCGGGGGAUCGCAAGACCUCGCGCGAUUGGAGCGGCCGAUAUCAGAUUAGGUAGUUGGUGGGGUAAAGGCUCACCAAGCCAACGAUCUGUAGCUGGUCUGAGAGGACGACCAGCCACACUGGAACUGAGACACGGUCCAGACUCCUACGGGAGGCAGCAGUGGGGAAUUUUGGACAAUGGACCCAAGUUUGAUUCAGCCAUUCCGCGUGCAGGAUGAAGGCCCUCGGGUUGUAAACUGGUUUUGUACGGAACGAAAAGGUUUCAUUAUACUGGGAGCU